GACGAACGCUGGCGGCGUGCUUAACACAUGCAAGUCGAACGGAAAGGCCCUUCGGGGUACUCGAGUGGCGAACGGGUGAGUAACACGUGGGUGAUCUGCCCUGCACUUUGGGAUAAGCCUGGGAAACUGGGUCUAAUACCGAAUAUGAUCAUCGGCUUCAUGGUCGGUGGUGGAAAGCUUUUGCGGUGUGGGAUGGGCCCGCGGCCUAUCAGCUUGUUGGUGGGGUAAUGGCCUACCAAGGCGACGACGGGUAGCCGGCCUGAGAGGGUGACCGGCCACACUGGGACUGAGAUACGGCCCAGACUCCUACGGGAGGCAGCAGCGGGGAAUAUUGCACAAUGGGCGCAAGCCUGAUGCAGCGACGCCGCGUGAGGGAUGACGGCCUUCGGGUUGUAAACCUCUUUCAGCACAGACGAAGCGCAAGUGACGGUAGGUGCAGAAGAAGGACCGGCCAACUACGUG
rnacentral:rRNA from 1 species